GAGGAUUCAUGUCCAGAUUACAUGCUAAAGGCAGAAGAAUGCUUAAAGCGGGAGAAGGAUAGGGUUUCACAUUACUUGCAUGUUAGUAGUGAACCAAAGUUGCUGGAGAAAGUACAAACUGAGUUACUUUCGGUGUAUGCAAGCCAACUGCUGGAAAAGGAACAUUCAGGAUGCUAUGCCUUACUUCAUGAUGAGAAGGUGGAUGACCUAUCGAG
rnacentral:misc_RNA from 1 species